GUUAAGUAGGAAGCUUGUGCAAGUGUAAACUGACAAAACUUCAGAACCCUUUUCCUAACUAAGCCGCUGAUUUAAUUUCAUUGUGAUGGGUUAAUGCAUCAGAUGUCAUCAUUUUGGAGGGCAUUUUAUUCAUCCAUGGUCACAGCAUAUUUGCUAGGUUGAAUUUGUGGUGCCUCCCUACACUGAAAUAAGUGCAGGUGUGCAUUUCCUUUAACCAAUAUUUGGGCCAAUGCAUCCUGAUAUAUGCUUAACCAACAUUUUAAAAAACUGCAGAGUCAUUAUCACUGACCACUGUGGGCAGAAUACCAGAUUCAAGAGCUGAAGCAAGGCACAAUGUCAAUUAGAGAGGCAAGCGCCGCACACGGAGGCACCAUGUGAGCAUUCAUUUUUAACCUUUCAGUUUGAUUUGGAUCCGAGAAAUUUUAGUGCUGAACAUGCUCAACAACUAUUUAGUGAGAGGCCAAAACUAUCAUACUGCCCUGUCAGGCAAUAGGCAAAGAUUUAGACUUGGAAUCUUGGAUUAACUUGCAAAGUGCCAACUGCUCAAGAAAGCUGUAGGUAGGGCUAGAUUUGGUUUUUUUUAAUGAUUUGUAUAUCAGUAAUCAUAAACAUACUGAUUCACGUUCGUUCACUGUGAGCAUUGCGAUUGCUUUCAUUUCUAUCUAUGAAAGGUCUGUGAUAUUUUUUAGCCCAACAACUUUUUGCAUAAUUCAUGACAGUUUUAAUUAUAGAACCAUAAACUAAUUGAUUCACGUUUGUUCACUGCACAACAUGGCGAGUAGUGCUUUCAUUUCUAUCUAGGAAAGAUCUGUGAUAUUUUUUAGAUCUAUAAUAUCUGCACUGUGAUUUCUAUGAUAUGCAUCACGUGUUAACAAAAAUAAAUGCUUAUCUGAAACUUUGGUGUAAGAAAUAAUUUCUGAACCUUUCAAUUGGACCAUGAUGACAUACUUAAAUAUGAAAGAAAAUGAACAAAUUGAGCCGGGUUUUUAAAAAUAAGUAGAUGCACAUCUAUUUUACUGCCAAUCGAGGUAGAAUCACACCUAUGCUCAUCGAUAGAACACAUGAAUGCUGAUGAAUGAAGUUCUAUUGUGGGUUUUGUUGAUGCCUUGAUCGGUGGUCGGUGCACUACUAAUACAUGUUUCUCGAACACGCAGGAGAGCUGUGUAUCAUUAUAUCAAGAAGAAGAAAGGGUUUGGAAACCCAUACAACACCACACACUCACAUCACGCUCACAUGCACUACUCGCCUUUUAUAGAACAAGAAACUUGACCUCGACCAUAUGAGAAUAAACACAGAACCUAACCUAGUCUGCACUUGGCACUAGAGUGAGAAGAUGGGAAAUUCCUCGAGCCCCAGCCGAACUCCAAAGGUGUAACUCUUCUGUAAAGAGUAGCAAAACCUCAUUCAGAUUAGGGUGUUUCCAUACUGACCAAAUAGCUGAUGAUACUUUGAUCAUCCUCCAAGCUGACGGUGUCCAACUGCAGAGACCUCAGGUUGCUGCUUGCUAUCAUUUUUAUUUUUUUUAAACAAAUAGCUGAUGUGAGCAGUUUUUAUCCCUGCUCAAAGCGCUUGGCAUGCUUGACAAACUGGUAGGCCAGCCUUGGCAAAUCUACAAAACAUGCUGAGUCUAAAUUGUUUGACGCAGGAAUCUGCCUGCAAACAAUUCUGAUGUAGCUCUAGGGCUUCUGUUGGAUUAUUAAUAAAAACUAAGAAGCAGCAAUUAUUUGAAUUUCUAAGGGUGCAGUUGAAAUUUUGAGCGGCAAACAGUUUGUACUAGUUUAAUUCCUUAUCAGCCG
rnacentral:lncRNA from 1 species